AGCGAACGCUGGCGGCAGGCCUAACACAUGCAAGUCGAACGGAUCCUUCGGGAUUAGUGGCGGACGGGUGAGUAACACGUGGGAACGUGCCCUUUGGUUCGGAACAACUCAGGGAACCUUGAGCUAAUACCGGAUGUGCCCUUCGGGGGAAAGAUUAUCGCCAUUGGAGCGGCCCGCGUCUGAUUAGCUAGUUGGUGAGGUAAAGGCUCACCAAGGCGACGAUCAGUAGCUGGUCUGAGAGGAUGAUCAGCCACAUUGGGACUGAGACACGGCCCAAACUCCUACGGGAGGCAGCAGUGGGGAAUCUUGCGCAAUGGGCGAAAGCCUGACGCAGCCAUGCCGCGUGAAUGAUGAAGGUCUUAGGAUUGUAAAAUUCUUUCACCGGGGACGAUAAUGACGGUACCCGGAGAAGAAGCCCCGGCUAACUUCGUGCCAGCCGCCGCAGUAA
rnacentral:rRNA from 1 species